rnacentral:rRNA from 1 species
AGAGUUUGAUCCUGGCUCAGAGCGAACGCUGGCGGCAUGCUUAACACAUGCAAGUCGCACGGCCGGGCAACCGGCAGUGGCGGACGGGUGAGUAACGCGUAGGGAUCUGUCCACGGGUGGGGGAUAACCGCGGGAAACUGCGGCUAACACCGCAUGACGCCUGAGGGCCAAAGGGGCGGGGGCGACCUCGCUUCGCCGGU